rnacentral:tRNA from 1 species
GGGCUCGUAGCUCAGUGGGAAGCACAAGUUCACUAAAGAGCAAUGGACUGAAGAUCCAUGUGUCCCGGGUUCGAAUCCCGGCGAGCCCA